UACGGGGGGAGCAAGCGUUGUUCGGAUUUACUGGGCGUAAAGGGCGCGUAGGCGGCCACCGCAAGUCGACUGUGAAAUCUCCGGGCUUAACCCGGAAAGGUCAGCCGAUACUGCGGGGCUAGAGUGCAGAAGGGGCAACUGGAAUUCUCGGUGUAGCGGUGAAAUGCGUAGAUAUCGAGAGGAACACCUGCGGCGAAGGCGGGUUGCUGGGCCGUAACUGACGCUGAGGAGCGAAAGCAUGGGGAGCGAACAGG
rnacentral:rRNA from 1 species